rnacentral:rRNA from 1 species
CAGAGUUAUCCAACUCCCAAACCCAUGUGAACUUAUCUCUUUGUUGCCUCGGCGCAAGCUACCCGGGACCUCGCGCCCCGGGGGGCCCGCCGGCGGACAAACCAAACUCUGUUAUCUUCGUUGAUUAUCUGAGUGUCUUAUUUAAUAAGUCAAAACUUUCAACAACGGAUCUCUUGGUUCUGGCAUCGAUGAAGAACGCAGCGAAAUGCGAUAAGUAAUGUGAAUUGCAGAAUUCAGUGAAUCAUCGAAUCUUUGAACGCACAUUGCGCCCAUUAGUAUUCUAGUGGGCAUGCCUGUUCGAGCGUCAUUUCAACCCCUAAGCACAGCUUAUUGUUGGGACUCUACGGCUUCGUAGUUCCCCAAAGACAUUGGCGGAGUGGCAGCAGUCCUCUGAGCGUAGUAAUUCUUUAUCUCGCUUUUGUUAGGCGCUGCCCCCCCGGCCGUAAAACCCCCAAUUUUUUCUGGUUGACCUCGGAUCAGGUAGGAAUACCCGCUGAACUUAAGCAUAUCAAU